GCCCGUAUAGCUCAGUGGUAGAGCGCAUCACUCGUAUCUUGAUUGCGACAUGAUGAGGUCCGCGGUUCAAUCCCGCGUGGGGGCA